AUUGAACGCUGGCGGCAUGCCUUACACAUGCAAGUCGAACGGCAGCACGGGAGCAAUCCUGGUGGCGAGUGGCGAACGGGUGAGUAAUAUAUCGGAACGUGCCCAGUCGUGGGGAUAACGUAGCGAAAGCUACGCUAAUACCGCAUACGAUCUACGGAUGAAAGCGGGGGAUCGCAAGACCUCGCGCGAUUGGAGCGGCCGAUAUCAGAUUAGGUAGUUGGUGGGGUUAAAGGGCGUCACCCAAGCCGACGAUCUGUAGCUGGUCUGAGAGGACGACCAGCCACACUGGGACUGAGACACGGCCCAGACUCCUACGGGAGGCAGCAGUGGGGAAUUUU
rnacentral:rRNA from 1 species